CUGUGCUCUCCUUCUGUGUCUUGUUCCCUCGUUAUCCCUCUGUGUAUUUAAGCCCUGUGUUUCUCUUUGUCAGUGUCGUAGUCCCCCUCAUGGCUGUGUUUCCAUGUGUGUUAGUUAUCCAUGUCCCAGUUUAGUUUUGUUAUAUUUUUUGUGCCAUCCUGCAAUAAAGCAGCUUUUUGAGUUUAAUUCCUACGUGGUGAGUUUUACGUUUGGGUCCUUCUCCUGCCUGCACACAGCCGAAACAUGACACCAGCAUGUUGAGAUUGACACCAAAGGGGUCACUGUACGAGAUGGACAGACAGAAAGACAUCUCACUGGAAAGGAUCUCGUCACUGCUGGAAGUGGCAAUGCCAGUGACUAUAGCAUUGCCUCUCCUCUCAUGAUGAACUGCUGGCUCACAUCUGCUGACUCUGCCUUGCAGAGACCACUGGCCGAUUUCGUUGUUCCACAACUUUAACUGGAAACUGUGAGAAAAUAUUUCAUUUGAGAAGAGACUACGGAAAAUACUUGCAACACCUGUUUCCAGCAUGAACAAAUAAACAUAUCUUGGAUUGUUUAAUAACUCACAAAUUUUAUUUUACUGAAAAAACUGUAUAAAGUCAGAAUAAUACAUCCAACUGUGUGAAUUUCAUUAAAAAUAAAGAUGAACAAAAAUGACCCAAAAUACACACAGUUGACCGUUAUAAUAAUAGUACACCUUGUACCUAAAUACAAUCUACAAGUUAAAAUCUUGUCAGUUUAAACUGAUUUGUCUAAAUGAAAACCAUUUGGAGUCUCUGUUAAGCACCACAUCAUUAGCAAAGAAAAUACUUAGAAAUGUAAAAUUACUAGAAUUCUCCUUUAGAAAGGUUCCAUAUUUGUAUAUUGUCAUUGUUUUACUAUUUUCUCUUAUGCAGUAGUUUUCUUUGUGCUUUGUAACAUCUGUGUUUAAAUCUAUUCCUUAUAAUGACAACUAGACAUGUGAUUGCUUUUGCUUUCUGAAUCAUCUGUUUUCUCAGCACCUUCCUGACCUCAUCAGUCUUAAAAAUAGAUUAAUUUUUGUUUGACAUAUACUUUAUAACAGCCACAUACUAGUUUCACAAUUAGUGCUAAGAUCUGCGACUUUAAUUUCUCAAAACAUUGUUCCAUGUUACAAAUUGGUGGAAACUGUUAGAUUUUACAUAAAUUGGUGCUGUGGGGAGUGUUUUAUGUAAGUGGGUGUUUGUUAUGUUUGGUGGUGAUAGAGGAGAGAAAUGAAAGAUUUUCCUUUUGAAAAAAUGUGUACAUAGUAAUACUGUAGUUUUGAGUUCAAACAGCAGUUUCCACUGCCUUGCACUAGUAGGA
ensembl:lncRNA